UCCUCUUUACAGAGGCAGUUUGUUCCGAGUCCCCGGCAUUACCCGCUGGUAACAGAACAUGAGGGUUGCGCUCGUUGCGGGACUUAACCCAACAUUUCACAACACGAGCUGACGACAGCCAUGCACCACCUGUGCCUCACCCUUGACGGCGACUCACUUUCAUGAGCUUGCAGAGACAUGUCAAGUCCUGGUAAGGUUCUUCGCGUUGCAUCGAAUUAAGCCAUAUGCUCCACCGCUUGUGCGGGCCCCCGCCAAUUCCUUUGAGUUUCAACCUUGCGGCCGUAGUCCCCAGGCGGUUCACUUAAUGCGUUAGCUGCGGCACCGAAGGUUACCCCCCGACACCUAGUGAACAUCGUUUAUGGCCAAGACUAC
rnacentral:misc_RNA from 1 species